rnacentral:lncRNA from 1 species
AAACUGGCUCGCCAUCUAGUGGUCUUAUCUGGCAACUGUGGGGAUCUGCACAUCAUGAUCCAGAAUCUUUAUUUAAGAAAACCAUGGUCCAUCCAAUCAUGGUUACAGUGCAGUAACAUGGCCUUUAGAGAUUUUUUUUAAAAUAUUUUGUUUUUAGUUUGAGAUGGAUGAAUUUUUUUAUUUCAUUUCUAUGUGGUGCUGAGUAUCAAACCCAGUGCCUCAUGCAUGCUAUGAGAACACUUCCACUGAGUCACAAAUCCAGCCCCCUUUAGAGUUCUUAAAUAAGAUAUUAGGUAUUGCUUUAAUCUCUGGAAGAGAAGUAAAGGUUAAAAUGUUUACAGGGAUUUGACUCUUACCUGUGGGUGUUGUGGUUGAAGGUCUUAAUGGGGUCAUUGCAACAGGAUUCCCUGAACAUCUCAGCAGUAGAGAUCCAUGCGCCCAGCCCCUUGGAUCUCAGGUUCUGUCCACCAUGGCUGAAACUAGACAAUUUUGGAUACAGGUUAUUAAGGUGUAAGUUAGUGAGGUCAUAAUAACUCUUUUUUGUAAAGUGGUGAAAAAAAUUGUUCUUGGAGGAGAGACCAAAUCAGAGUACAGAUUUUAAGCCCCAAUCAUGCAACUGAAUGGAUCAUAAAAAUUAAGAUUUGUGAGCCACUCUGAGUCUCGUAUACUAAGGCUGAGCUGCAACCUGAGAAUCCACAUUUCUAUCCAGUUCUCUGGUAAAACUGAUGUUUGUUUGGGGCCCAGUCUUUGGGACCCAGGAUCAACCAUAGUAUGACUUAGGCUUAACUACUUCUAGCUAAAUGAUAGGGGACAGAUGUGAGUGGUGAGAGCAUGAGGUUCAGGGAAUAAUUCUAUAAUGUGGGGUUCACUGUGCUGACCCUCGCAUGCUUUCCUUUUCAUGAAGAAAUUAACCUGCAACCCUGCCUGCCUUAAGUGCCUCAGUAAACUAUCUGUUAUCUGCAGGAGAAAAUCAGAUAUAAAAUAAUGUCCAUAAGAGGAACCCAUGUUACCCUUAAGAAGGGAACUUUUGUGACUCUUUCCACAUACCAGAUUCUGAAACCCAGAGAGAUAAAAAUAUUUUUUCCUAACUCUAAAAUCUGCAAGAAUUUAUGGUUAAGAAUCCAGUGAGAAUCAGUUGCAUUAGCCAAGGUGACCUAAAGUUAUCACAGUAGUGGGGACUUGACAGUCUGAUGUUAUCCAGCUGUCAGUUCAAAGUCAAAUGGUAGGCCUGGGUGGGACUCUUUGGAAACUUCUCUGGGAUACCCAAUAAAAGUGGAUUGCAUGAAAGGCACACUGUCUCUCUCCUUUCUCAGAGGACCUAUAUCUUCUAUGAGAGUGUCACCUUUCCCUGUUUAUCCCUUCAAUAAACUAAUGCCUGUUAUUCUGAGUGAAAUGUCUGAAAUCUUUCUGACUUAGUUACAAGAAUUAGAGUUUGAAGGGGGGCCUUCUUACUGUUUCAGUUUACAUGAAGUCACCAACCUUGUAUCAUUAAACAUUUAAAAAGUUCUCAUGAUCUACAUUAAGCUUGCUCCAGCUACACUUUCAAGAUUUACAGAGUUGUAGUCCCCAGCUCUUUCAGGAAAAGCCAAAAGAUAGAGCUAAGAUCAGCUAAGAUAAAGCUAAAUGAUGUGACUGUAUUUUUCCUCACACUCUAGUAGUUAGGACUACCAGGAGAUAUGGUUGAGCCCAGUUCUUGUGCAGCAAAAACCUUUGGUUCCCACUGCUGCAUCCAAAUAACCAAUGAGGUUAGAAUGGUCAUCAUCCACAGCAUGUGAGGCCAGGUAUGAGAUGUCUCCACAAGAUCCAUGCACAUUUUCAUCACUUUCACAUAAACAUUUGCAUGUGAGGUGUUUUAUGCUAGAAACUGACAAAACAAAUGGUAAACCUGUGCACUGGACAACCAGAAGAAUUUUAUCAGAGGAUUAGUUCCAUCCUGUAUCUCCAGCAUAAGGGGCUCUGGUAAAUGCUUGGCUCAAUAAACCACUCUUAGUUUAGAAAUAAGCAGUGAUCUGAUCUCCACCUACAAAUUCUGUUCAGCCUAUUCAAACCACUAGUACAUGUAGCCAAUCAGAAGUUAUCCCUGCUCAAGGGACACUGAAGAAACUUGAAUCUAAACCUGGUUCUACCUGUUCUACUCAC